UACAGAGGGGGCAAGCGUUGUUCGGAAUUACUGGGCGUAAAGGGCGCGUAGGCGGCCUGUUAAGUCGAACGUGAAAUCCCCGGGCUCAACCCGGGAACUGCGUCCGAUACUGGCAGGCUUGAAUCCGGGAGAGGGAUGCGGAAUUCCAGGUGGUAAGCGGAUGAAAUGCGUAGAUAUCUGGAGGAACACGGUGGUCGGAAGGCGGCCAUCCUG
rnacentral:rRNA from 1 species